GACGAACGCUGGCGGCGUGCUUAACACAUGCAAGUCGAACGGAAAGGCCCUGCUUUUGUGGGGUGCUCGAGUGGCGAACGGGUGAGUAACACGUGAGUAACCUGCCCUUGACUUUGGGAUAACUUCAGGAAACUGGGGCUAAUACCGGAUAGGAGCUCCUGCUGCAUGGUGGGGGUUGGAAAGUUUCGGCGGUUGGGUAUGGACUCGCGGCUUAUCAGCUUGUUGGUGGGGUAGUGGCUUACCAAGGCUUUGACGGGUAGCCGGCCUGAGAGGGUGACCGGCAACAUUGGGACUGAGAUACGGCCCAGACUCCUACGGGAGGCAGCAGUGGGGAAUAUUGCACAAUGGGCGGAAGCCUAAUGCAGCAACGCCGCGUGCGGGAUGACGGCCUUCGGGUUGUAAACCGCUUUCGCCUGUGACGAAGCGUGAGUGACGGUAAUGGGUAAAGAAGCACCGGCUAACUACGUG
rnacentral:rRNA from 1 species